rnacentral:rRNA from 1 species
GCUUCGAUCAGUAGCUGGUCUGAGAGGACGACCAGCCACACUGGGACUGAGACACGGCCCAGACUCCUACGGGAGGCAGCAGUGGGGAAUUUUGGAAUGGGGGAAACCCUGAUCCAGCCAUGCCGCGUGAGUGAAGAAGGCCUUCGGGUUGUAAAGCUCUUUCAGCCGGAACGAAAAGGUCACGGCUAAUACCCGUGACAAAUGACGGUACCGGAAGAAGAAGCACCGGCUAACUACGUGCC